GUGAUCGCUUUGGCAGCACAUAUACUAAAAUUGGAAUGAUAAAGAGAAAAUUAGCAUGGCCCCUGCACAUUGUAAUAUGCAAAUUCAUGAAGUGUUCCAUAUUAAA